rnacentral:rRNA from 1 species
GAUGAACGCUGGCGGCGUGCCUAAUACAUGCAAGUCGAGCGAACAGACGAGGAGCUUGCUCCUCUGACGUUAGCGGCGGACGGGUGAGUAACACGUGGAUAACCUACCUAUAAGACUGGGAUAACUUCGGGAAACCGGAGCUAAUACCGGAUAAUAUAUUGAACCGCAUGGUUCAAUAGUGAAAGACGGUUUUGCUGUCACUUAUAGAUGGAUCCGCGCCGCAUUAGCUAGUUGGUAAGGUAACGGCUUACCAAGGCAACGAUGCGUAGCCGACCUGAGAGGGUGAUCGGCCACACUGGAACUGAGACACGGUCCAGACUCCUACGGGAGGCAGCAGUAGGGAAUCUUCCGGAAUGGGCGAAAGCCUGACGGAGCAACGCCGCGUGAGUGAUGAAGGUCUUCGGAUCGUAAAACUCUGUUAUUAGGGAAGAACAAAUGUGUAAGUAACUAUGCACGUCUUGACGGUACCUAAUCAGAAAGCCACGGCUAACUACGU